CGUCUGCAUGACGACGACAACCUCCUCCUGCGCGUGGUGGAGGCCUACUGUGCUUCUGCUGCGACACGGCCCGCGCCUGGAGCUGACAGCUCCUACAGUCGGGACCACGACGUGCGACUGGACCCAGCCUCGCCUCCUGAUGCGAGAAUGUUGAUUGAGGUGGAGCACCUGAAGUCGGAACUGAGUCGCCUAUCGCACGACCACAGACAGCUAAAGCAGCAGUUCGAGCGCGAAAGAGCCUCUAAUAAAUUCCUGCGCUCUGUCGCGCAGCAGAUUGUGCCACCACCUCCCCUUAACUGAUGAAGCCGUCCUGUUGUUGUUAGUUGCCCGGGACCGCUGCUCGGGGACCGCCCGGGACCUAUAUCAAGACAGACCCGGGACCUAUAUCAAGACAGCCCGGAGCCUGCUGUUGUUGUUAGUUGCCCGAGACCGCUGCUCGGGGACCGCCCGGGACCUAUAUCAAGACAGACCCGGGACCUGUAUCAAGACAGCCCGGGACCUGCUGUUGUUGUUAGUUGCCCGAGACCGCUGCUCGGGGACCGCCCGGGACCUAUAUCAAGACAG